rnacentral:rRNA from 1 species
UACGGGGGGAGCAAGCGUUGUUCGGAUUUACUGGGCGUAAAGGGCGCGUAGGCGGUCAGCACAAGUCAGUUGUGAAAUCUCCGGGCUUAACUCGGAAAGGUCAACUGAUACUGUGCGACUAGAGUGCAGAAGGGGCAACUGGAAUUCUCGGUGUAGCGGUGAAAUGCGCAGAUAUCAGGAGGAACACCGAUGGCGAAGGCAGGUCUCUGGGCUGACACUGACGCUCAUGCACGAAAGCGUGGGGAGCAAACAGG